GAUGAACGCUGGCGGCGUGCCUAAUACAUGCAAGUCGAGCGAACGGACGAGAAGCUUGCUUCUCUGAUGUUAGCGGCGGACGGGUGAGUAACACGUGGAUAACCUACCUAUAAGACUGGGAUAACUUCGGGAAACCGGAGCUAAUACCGGAUAAUAUUUUGAACCGCAUGGUUCAAAAGUGAAAGACGGUCUUGCUGUCACUUAUAGAUGGAUCCGCGCUGCAUUAGCUAGUUGGUAAGGUAACGGCUUACCAAGGCAACGAUGCAUAGCCGACCUGAGAGGGUGAUCGGCAACACUGGAACUGAGAAACGGUCAAGACUCCUACGGGAGGCAGAAGUAGGGAAUCUUCCGCAAAGGGCGAAAGCCUGACGGAGCAACGCCGCGUGAGUGAUGAAGGUCUUCGGAUCGUAAAACUCUGUUAUUAGGGAAGAACAUAUGUGUAAGUAACUGUGCACAUCUUGACGGUACCUACUCAGAAAGCCACGGCUAACUACGUG
rnacentral:rRNA from 1 species